rnacentral:rRNA from 1 species
AGCGAACGCUGGCGGCAGGCCUAACACAUGCAAGUCGAACGAACUCUUCGGAGUUAGUGGCGGACGGGUGAGUAACACGUGGGAACGUGCCUUUUGGUUCGGAAUAACUCAGGGAAACUUGUGCUAAUACCGAAUGUGCCCUUCGGGGGAAAGAUUUAUCGCCAUUAGAGCGGCCCGCGUCUGAUUAGCUAGUUGGUGAGGUAACGGCUCACCAAGGCGACGAUCAGUAGCUGGUCUGAGGGGAUGACCAGCCACACUGGGACUGAGACACGGCCCAGACUCCUACGGGAGGCAGCAGUGGGGAAUCUUGCGCAAUGGGCGAAAGCCUGACGCAGCCAUGCCGCGUGAAUGAUGAAGGUCUUAGGAUUGUAAAAUUCUUUCACCGGGGACGAUAAUGACGGUACCCGGGGAAGAAGCCCCGGCUAACUUCGUG